CUUUUAGGGUUUAAUCUUGGAACAUAUUUUACUAUUUAUCAAUUAACAAAUAAAUGCUUCAUUGGAAGCAUCCUUGGAGCCACAUGCGAGACUUUUCACCUUCUUGUUUCUAUAAAUCUGAUGCACACUUCCUAGUGUAUUCAACCGGCCAAGAAGCUAAAGAGAUCAGUUUUUGUCUCUAAAAGUUAGGAUUCAUCAUCCCUCGUGAACAAGUUCUUUGGCUUCAUAAAUUAUGAAUAAUGAUGUACAAAUAUUGUUGUUCUCAACGAUGCCUCACAGAAAUCUCUGAUAGUUUAAUCAGAUAUCACAUCGAUUGCAUAUUCA